GAUGAACGCUGGCGGCGUGCCUAAUACAUGCAAGUCGAGCGAACAGACGAGGAGCUUGCUCCUCUGACGUUAGCGGCGGACGGGUGAGUAACACGUGGAUAACCUACCUAUAAGACUGGGAUAACUUCGGGAAACCGGAGCUAAUACCGGAUAAUAUAUUGAACCGCAUGGUUCAACAGUGAAAGACGGUUUUGCUGUCACUUAUAGAUGGAUCCGCGCCGCAUUAGCUAGUUGGUAAGGUAACGGCUUACCAAGGCGACGAUGCGUAGCCGACCUGAGAGGGUGAUCGGCCACACUGGAACUGAGACACGGUCCAGACUCCUACGGGAGGCAGCAGUAGGGAAUCUUCCGCAAUGGGCGAAAGCCUGACGGAGCAACGCCGCGUGAGUGAUGAAGGUCUUCGGAUCGUAAAACUCUGUUAUUAGGGAAGAACAAAUGUGUAAGUAACUAUGCACGUCUUGACGGUACCUAAUCAGAAAGCCACGGCUAACUACGUG
rnacentral:rRNA from 1 species